UGAAAGCACAUGUAUAUUACAGUGCACAUCUAUCGGCAUCUUCCAUGAGGUCAGGAUAUUUCUGAAGCCCGUCUGGUUGUACCACUGCAAGAGCCUGGGAGUACAACACAGUGCAUUUUCCUAGAGGGCCAACUUACUUAGUGAUGCUUAAGCAUCUGAGUUGAAGACUUCUAUGUCCAACCAUCUAUUCAACACUGACAUGUCCAGAGGAUGGCCAGAGGCACCUCAAACUUCACAUGUUCAAAACAGAGCACUAGACUCCCUGCACCACAAACCUGCCUCCACUCCAGUCCAUUCCAUCUCUUUAACUGCUGCCACUGCUACCAGUUGCUCGAGAUAAAAACCCCU
rnacentral:lncRNA from 10 species